GGUUAAGCGACUAAGCGUACACGGUGGAUGCCCUGGCAGUCAGAGGCGAUGAAGGGCGUGCUAAUCUGCGAUAAGCGCCGGUAAGGUGAUAUGAACCGUUAUAACCGGCGAUACCCGAAUGGGGAAACCCAGUGUGAUUCGUCACACUAUCAUUAACUGAAUCCAUAGGUUAAUGAGGCGAACCGGGGGAACUGAAACAUCUAAGUACCCCGAGGAAAAGAAAUCAACCGAGAUUCCCCCAGUAGCGGCGAGCGAACGGGGAGGAGCCCAGAGCCUGAAUCAGCAUGUGUGUUAGUGGAAGCGUCUGGAAAGGCGCGCGAUACAGGGUGACAGCCCCGUACACAAAAGCGCAUGUGCUGUGAGCUCGAUGAGUAGGGCGGGACACGUGGUAUCCUGUCUGAAUAUGGGGGGACCAUCCUCCAAGGCUAAAUACUCCUGACUGACCGAUAGUGAACCAGUACCGUGAGGGAAAGGCGAAAAGAACCCCGGCGAGGGGAGUGAAAAAGAACCUGAAACCGUGUACGUACAAGCAGUGGGAGCCCCACCACUAAGCCAGUGGUGAACUCCACAUACGCAUCCUUUGCUGAGGAUACGGUUAACGGAGCGAAAGCGACGUUCAACCGCAAAAGAAGCAGAGGGGGCUUAGUGGUGGGGUGACUGCGUACCUUUUGUAUAAUGGGUCAGCGACUUAUAUUCUGUAGCAAGGUUAACCGAAUAGGGGAGCCGGAGGGAAACCGAGUCUUAAUUGGGCGUUAAGUUGCAGGGUAUAGACCCGAAACCCGGUGAUCUAGCCAUGGGCAGGUUGAAGGUUGGGUAACACUAACUGGAGGACCGAACCGACUAAUGUUGAAAAAUUAGCGGAUGACCUGUGGCUGGGGGUGAAAGGCCAAUCAAACCGGGAGAUAGCUGGUUCUCCCCGAAAGCUAUUUAGGUAGCGCCUCGUGAAUUCAUCUCCGGGGGUAGAGCACUGUUUCGGCUAGGGGGCCAUCCCGGCUUACCAACCCGAUGCAAACUGCGAAUACCGGAGAAUGUUAUCACGGGAGACACACGGCGGGUGCUAACGUCCGUCGUGAAGAGGGAAACAACCCAGACCGCCAGCUAAGGUCCCAAAGUCAUGGUUAAGUGGGAAACGAUGUGGGAAGGCCCAGACAGCCAGGAUGUUGGCUUAGAAGCAGCCAUCAUUUAAAGAAAGCGUAAUAGCUCACUGGUCGAGUCGGCCUGCGCGGAAGAUGUAACGGGGCUAAACCAUGCACCGAAGCUGCGGCAGCGACACUCAGGUGUUGUUGGGUAGGGGAGCGUUCUGUAAGCCUGUGAAGGUGGCCGUGAGGCAUGCUGGAGGUAUCAGAAGUGCGAAUGCUGACAUAAGUAACGAUAAAGCGGGUGAAAAGCCCGCUCGCCGGAAGACCAAGGGUUCCUGUCCAACGUUAAUCGGGGCAGGGUGAGUCGACCCCUAAGGCGAGGCCGAAAGGCGUAGUCGAUGGGAAACGGGUUAAUAUUCCCGUACUUGGUGUUACUGCGAAGGGGGGACGGAGAAGGCUAUGUUGGCCGGGCGACGGUUGUCCCGGUUUAAGCGUGUAGGUGUGUGUUCCAGGUAAAUCCGGUUCACUUUAACACUGAGGCGUGACGACGAGGCACUACGGUGCUGAAGCAACAAAUGCCCUGCUUCCAGGAAAAGCCUCUAAGCAUCAGGUAACAUCAAAUCGUACCCCAAACCGACACAGGUGGUCAGGUAGAGAAUACCAAGGCGCUUGAGAGAACUCGGGUGAAGGAACUAGGCAAAAUGGUGCCGUAACUUCGGGAGAAGGCACGCUGACACGUAGGUGAAGUGAUUUACUCAUGGAGCUGAAGUCAGUCGAAGAUACCAGCUGGCUGCAACUGUUUAUUAAAAACACAGCACUGUGCAAACACGAAAGUGGACGUAUACGGUGUGACGCCUGCCCGGUGCCGGAAGGUUAAUUGAUGGGGUCAGCGCAAGCGAAGCUCCUGAUCGAAGCCCCGGUAAACGGCGGCCGUAACUAUAACGGUCCUAAGGUAGCGAAAUUCCUUGUCGGGUAAGUUCCGACCUGCACGAAUGGCGUAAUGAUGGCCAGGCUGUCUCCACCCGAGACUCAGUGAAAUUGAACUCGCUGUGAAGAUGCAGUGUACCCGCGGCAAGACGGAAAGACCCCGUGAACCUUUACUAUAGCUUGACACUGAACAUUGAGCCUUGAUGUGUAGGAUAGGUGGGAGGCUUUGAAGUGUGGACGCCAGUCUGCAUGGAGCCGACCUUGAAAUACCACCCUUUAAUGUUUGAUGUUCUAACGUGGACCCGUGAUCCGGGUUGCGGACAGUGUCUGGUGGGUAGUUUGACUGGGGCGGUCUCCUCCUAAAGAGUAACGGAGGAGCACGAAGGUUGGCUAAUCCUGGUCGGACAUCAGGAGGUUAGUGCAAUGGCAUAAGCCAGCUUGACUGCGAGCGUGACGGCGCGAGCAGGUGCGAAAGCAGGUCAUAGUGAUCCGGUGGUUCUGAAUGGAAGGGCCAUCGCUCAACGGAUAAAAGGUACUCCGGGGAUAACAGGCUGAUACCGCCCAAGAGUUCAUAUCGACGGCGGUGUUUGGCACCUCGAUGUCGGCUCAUCACAUCCUGGGGCUGAAGUAGGUCCCAAGGGUAUGGCUGUUCGCCAUUUAAAGUGGUACGCGAGCUGGGUUUAGAACGUCGUGAGACAGUUCGGUCCCUAUCUGCCGUGGGCGCUGGAGAACUGAGGGGGGCUGCUCCUAGUACGAGAGGACCGGAGUGGACGCAUCACUGGUGUUCGGGUUGUCAUGCCAAUGGCACUGCCCGGUAGCUAAAUGCGGAAGAGAUAAGUGCUGAAAGCAUCUAAGCACGAAACUUGCCCCGAGAUGAGUUCUCCCUGAGACUUAGAGUCUCCUGAAGGAACGUUGAAGACGACGACGUUGAUAGGCCGGGUGUGUAAGCGCAGCGAUGCGUUGAGCUAACCGGUACUAAUGAACCGUGAGGCUUAACCUU
rnacentral:rRNA from 1 species